rnacentral:rRNA from 1 species
CCCUUAGAUGUUCUGGGCCGCACGCGUGCUACACUGAGUGGAUCAGCGGGUCAGGUUGCGCGAAAGUGUUUCCUAAUCUUGAAAUCCGCUCGUGAUGGGGAUUGACGGUUGCAAUUUUCCGUCAUGAACGAGGAAUACCUUGUAAGCGCGGGUCAUCAUCCCGCGCUGAAUACGUCCCUGCCCUUUGUACACACCGCCCGUCGCUCCUACCGAUUGAAUGUUUCGGUGAAGAUUCCGGAUAGGACUGAUUUGAUUUAUUUCAUUUCUGACCUAAAAGCUAUCUAAACCUCAACAUUUAGAGGAAGGUGAAGUCGUAACA